rnacentral:tRNA from 1 species
CAAGAAAUAGUUUAUUUAAAAAUAUUAAUUUUGGGAAUUAAUGAAAAAGAGGUUUCUUUUUUCUUGA